AGGUAAAGAGGCUGUAAUAUAUCGGAUUUUGAUAUAAAAAUAAAAAUAAAUAAAAAUAGUAUGAGAUACUAUUUUUAUUUUAUUUAGAGAAGUAUAAUAUAAGUCGGAAGCGACUCGUGUUAAAAUUGGAAUGAAAACAGAAGAUUUAGAAUUUUCUGUUAGAACCGGGGUUGAUAUUUUAGCAAAAAAUGUACAGUGUCAGGAAAUUAUAAAAACUGGAGGAUAUGUCAGAAUAUUUUUAUGAGGCUAGAUUUAAAGUUUCAUGCCAUUCUGCCAUCCGAAAGAUGAAAAAUAAAAUCCGACUGCUAUCUGCUAGAGGUUUCAGUUCGGUAGAGCUUUCGAUGACCGAAUGUGGUCGAAACUGAAAGAUUAAAAUUUCUUUCGUUACGUUAAGUAAAACCUAGCCUGAUUGUCAAAUUUGAGCUCAAACGGACAUUCAAAAGGGCAGGCGAAAAAUAUCUGUACCUGAACUGCUAAACUGCUAAUGUGAAUAGUGUAAUGUUGAGGGGGUUUUGUGUAAAAAGGAGUUGUCUCAUUCUUUUUCCUCAGC
rnacentral:lncRNA from 1 species